rnacentral:rRNA from 1 species
GACGAACGCUGGCGGCGCGCCUAACACAUGCAAGUCGAACGAGCGAGAGAGAGCUUGCUUUCUCGAGCGAGUGGCGAACGGAUGAGUAACGCGUGAGGAACCUGCCUCAAAGAGGGGGACAACAGUUGGAAACGACUGCUAAUACCGCAUAAGCCCACGGCUCGGCAUCGAGCAGGGGGAAAAGGAGCAAUCCGCUUUGAGAUGGCCUCGCGUCCGAUUAGCUAGUUGGUGGGGUAACGGCCCACCAAGGCGACGAUCGGUAGCCGGACUGAGAGGUUGAACGGCCACAUUGGGACUGAGACACGGCCCAGACUCCUACGGGAGGCAGCAGUGGGGAAUAUUGCACAAUGGGGGAAACCCUGAUGCAGCGACGCCGCGUGGAGGAAGAAGGUCUUCGGAUUGUAAACUCCUGUUGUUGGGGAAGAUAAUGACGGUACCCAACAAGGAAGUGACGGCUAACUACGUG